CCCUUAGAUGUUCUGGGCCGCACGCGCGCUACACUGAUGCAUUCAACGAGCCUAUCCUUGACCGACAGGUCCGGGUAAUCUUUGAAUCUGCAUCGUGACGGGGAUAGAUUAUUGCAAUUAUUAAUCUUCAACGAGGAAUGCCUAGUAGGCGCAAGUCAUCAGCUUGCGUCGAUUACGUCCCUGCCCUUUGUACACACCGCCCGUCGCUCCUACCGAUUGGGUGUGCUGGUGAAAUGUUCGGAUCGGCCGUUUGUCGCGGUUUCCGCGUCAUGUGGCUGAGAAGUUCAUUAAACCCUCCCACCUAGAGUAAGGAGAAGUCGUAACA
rnacentral:rRNA from 1 species